rnacentral:rRNA from 1 species
CCUUUCGGAGGCUUUAACAUGCAAGUCGAGGGGUAUAUGUCUUCGGAUAUAGAGACCGGCGCACAGGUGCGUAAAAGAGAGAAAUCUACCUUUUACAGAGGGAUAGCCCAGAGAAAUUUGGAUUAAUACCUCAUAGUAUAGUGACUCGGCAUCGAGAUACUAUUAAAGUCACAACGGUAAAAGAUGAGCAUGCGUCCCAUUAGCUAGUUGGUAAGGUAACGGCUUACCAAGGCUACGAUGGGUAGGGGUCCUGAGAGGGAGAUCCCCCACACUGGUACUGAGACACGGACCAGACUCCUACGGGAGGCAGCAGUGAGGAAUAUUGGACAAUGGGCGCAAGCCUGAUCCAGCCAUGCCGCGUGCAGGAUGACGGUCCUAUGGAUUGUAAACUGCUUUUGUACGAGAAGAAACACUCCUACGUGUAGGAGCUUGACGGUAUCGUAAGAAUAAGGAUCGGCUAACUCCGUGCCAGCAGCCGCGGUAAUACGGAGGAUCCAAGCGUUAUCCGGAAUCAUUGGGUUUAAAGGGUCCGUAGGCGGUUUAGUAAGUCAGUGGUGAAAGCCCAUCGCUCAACGGUGGAACGGCCAUUGAUACUGCUAAACUUGAAUUAUUAGGAAGUAACUAGAAUAUGUAGUGUAGCGGUGAAAUGCUUAGAGAUUACAUGGAAUACCAAUUGCGAAGGCAGGUUACUACUAAUGGAUUGACGCUGAUGGACGAAAGCGUGGGUAGCGAACAGGAUUAGAAUACCCUGGGUUAAAAA